rnacentral:rRNA from 1 species
CCUACGGGAGGCAGCAGUGGGGGAUAUUGCACAAUGGGGGAAACCCUGAUGCAGCGACGCCGCGUGGGUGAAGAAGCGCCUCGGCGCGUAAAGCCCUGUCAGCAGGGAAGAAAAUGACGGUACCUGAAGAAGAAGCCCCGGCUAACUACGUGCCAGCAGCCGCGGUAAUACGAAGGGUGCAAGCGUUGUUCGGAUUUACUGGGCGUAAAGCGUCCGUAGGUGGUUUGUUAAGUCAGGGGUGAAAUCCCGGGGCCCAACCCCGAAACUGCCUUUGAUACUGGCGAACUGGAGCGUGAUAGAGGAAG